GAAGUGCUGAGGGUACUUGUGAUUAUUGAUGAUUUUAGAAGCUUUACAGAAGACAUACUGAGAGUCUCAUCUACACCGAGUGAAGGAAGGCUUAUUAAAGUAGCAUACAGUCACUGCUCCAGUCUGGGAACCACUAAAGUGGAGCUUGCUAGGCUGGGGUGCGUGCUGCAGGCAGGUGUGUGUACUGGGGAAUGCCACUUGGACUGGAUGUGAGGGUUCCCAGUACCCGGUAUUUGGUUUUGAAAGGUCCUGUAAAUCUUCUGACAUCAGCCUGCCUGAAAUUUCCAUGCAGCAUUAGAAGGUGUUGUCAUUGAAGGCUUUGUGUUUGAAGGAAUUUUCCAGCAGAAGACAAGAACCAGCACCUGCUGUUUGGAUGCACAAUUCUUUUCCAACUGAUCACAAAACAGCAGCAGUUCCAGUGAUUUAAAGUAAUGGCUUGAUAACUUUAAGAAUCUGUAUAAAUGCUAUCAUAUCUGCACCAAUAGCAUAAUGAGAAAUUAAUGUCUUUAUUGUAUAUAAUCAUAAUGUAAAAAUGCUGAGCAUUAUUGCUGAAAUGGAGCUGCAAAGCUGGUGGCCUGUAUAUGCAAUACUUAAUACUGUUUAGCAUAUGCUGCUACGGUACAUAUACAACCAAACCCUUCUUCCUAUGUUGAAAACAUCCUGAUUGCUAGUGCAGAAAGCACCAAUCUAUUUUUGGUGGGACCACACAGAACAUCAUUGAAACCACAUUUUUCCUGAGUCUCAGCUGUUGGAAGGAAUUCUGCACUGCCUAUAAUGUCAUUAAAUAUAUUCUUAUACCACAGUAAAUAAACUGGGGCCUUGAGAAAAGAAGGUGGCUGUAAUGAUGCCGCUAUAGUGUCACUAUAGUGAUGAAGGUGUAUAUAGUGAUGGCCAAAUUUUUACUAUGAUGUAGUUAACCAGUGUAACAAGACUCUUAAUGAGAAAAACAAUGAAAGUAAAAACCUAUCGUCAAAAUUUGGGAGAGGUGUGU